rnacentral:rRNA from 1 species
UACGGAGGGUGCAAGCGUUAUCCGGAUUCACUGGGUUUAAAGGGUGCGUAGGCGGGUAUUUAAGUCAGUGGUGAAAGCUCCGAGCUUAACUUGGAAACUGCCAUUGAUACUGUAUAUCUUGAAUGUCGUUGAGGUUAGCGGAAUGUUGCAUGUAGCGGUGAAAUGCUUAGAUAUGUUACAGAACACCAAUUGUGAAGACAGCUAACUAAGCGAUGAUUGACGCUGAGGCACGAAAGCGUGGGGAGCAAACAGG